GACGAACGCUGGCGGCGUGCUUAACACAUGCAAGUCGAACGGAAAGGCCCUGCUUUUGUGGGGGGCUCGAGUGGCGAAAGGGUGAGUAACACGUGAGUAACCUGCCCUUGACUUUGGGAUAACUUCAGGAAAAUGGGGCUAAUACCGGAUAGGAGCUCCUGCUGCAUGGUGGGGGGUGGAAAGUUUCGGCGGUUGGGGAUGGACUCGCGGCUUAUCAGCUUGUUGGUGGGGUAGUGGCUUACCAAGGCUUUGACGGGUAGCCGGCCUGAGAGGGUGACCGGCCACAUUGGGACUGAGAUACGGCCCAGACUCCUACGGGAGGCAGCAGUGGGGAAUAUUGCACAAUGGGCGGAAGCCUGAUGCAGCAACGCCGCGUGCGGGAUGACGGCCUUCGGGUUGUAAACCGCUUUCGCCUGUGACGAAGCGUGAGUGACGGUAAUGGGUAAAGAAGCACCGGCUAACUACGUG
rnacentral:rRNA from 1 species